UAAUAAGUGUUUUAUGGCACUUUUUAAAAAUCCAUAUCCACCUUGUGUGCAAUGUUAGAUCUCGUCAAUCUUGGCGAGAUUUUUAUACAUCAACUCAUUCUUUAACUAAUUUGUCUGAAAAAUAUUAUGAAUACUUAAUUCAAAAUA
rnacentral:misc_RNA from 1 species